rnacentral:rRNA from 1 species
UACGUAGGGUGCAAGCGUUAAUCGGAAUUACUGGGCGUAAAGCGUGCGCAGGCGGUUCUAUAAGACAGAUGUGAAAUCCCCGGGCUCAACCUGGGAACUGCAUUUGUGACUGUAGAGCUGGAGUACGGCAGAAGGGGAUGGAAUUCCGCGUGUAGCAGUGAAAUGCGUAGAUAUGCGGAGGAACACCGAUGGCGAAGGCAAUCCCCUGGGCCUGUACUGACGCUCAUGCACGAAAGCGUGGGGAGCAAACAGG